GACGAACGCUGGCGGCGUGCUUAACACAUGCAAGUCGAACGGAAAGGCCCUGCUUGUGUGGGGUGCUCGAGUGGCGAACGGGUGAGUAACACGUGAGUAACCUGCCCUUGACUUUGGGAUAACUUCAGGAAACUGGGGCUAAUACCGGAUAGGAGCUCCUGCUGCAUGGUGGGGGUUGGAAAGUUUCGGCGGUUGGGGAUGGACGCGCGGCUUAUCAGCUUGUUGGUGGGGUAGUGGCUUACCAAGGCUUUGACGGGUAGCCGGCCUGAGAGGGUGACCGGCCACAUUGGGACUGAGAUACGGCCCAGACUCCUACGGGAGGCAGCAGUGGGGAAUAUUGCACAAUGGGCGGAAGCCUGAUGCAGCAACGCCGCGUGCGGGAUGACGGCCUUCGGGUUGUAAACCGCUUUCGCCUGUGACGAAGCGUGAGUGACGGUAAUGGGUAAAGAAGCACCGGCUAACUACGUG
rnacentral:rRNA from 1 species